CAAGCUAUGAAAUGUGAUUAUUUGCAGGUCCAAUCAACAGUUCAAUGUUUAUAGAUUUAAUGGAGAAUAAUAAACUUCAUGUGCUACCCCAGCUAAGGAAUGUGACUUCAGUAGAGUUGGGCUGUAGUUCUCGAGGUUAUUCGCGUGCUGGCAGUGAUACCAAGAUUUGGUAUUGUGCCAUUGUUGCUGGAAGACAGAGCCAGGAACUCAAUAAAAUGCGUGAAACCAUGCGUAGCAUCCAAGAAAAA